rnacentral:misc_RNA from 1 species
AAAAAAAAAAAAAAAAUGACUAGGAGCAGAGAAUCAAACAAUGCAAUCACACAAAUCUAAGAUAAUGUUAUUAUUAUUGUCAUUAUUGCUGUAAAUUCUGAAAUUUGCUAUUUUUAUGAUACUGAAGUAAUUAACAUAGAAUUUUUCAAUUAGAAAUAAUUUAUUAUACUUUUAGGAGAAAUAUCUGUGGUGAUUCUAUUCUGAAAUGAAAUGAAUUUGGAAUUCUGGAGCAAAAUAGCAAUGCAACAAUGUAGUAUUAUUUAUGUUCUAAUUGUAAAUCUCUUUAAUGGACCAAAAACCAAGAUCUUAAG